AUGGCGUCAAGGGUUUAGGGAAGCAGCAGUAGAACAGGGGAAAGAGGAAGAAGAUGAGUGAUCGUUUAUUUUUUUUUUUUGUACUUAAUGCUGUUGGUUGGGCUUGGAGGGAGGAGUAAUGAAUGGGGGGGGGCAUUUUAGUCAACCAAAGUCAGACCCAAAACGCUUUCAUUAACGUUUGUUUAACGUCAUGCUUACUGUAGUAAUUUAGGUAAAAGUUUAGGGGUACCACUGAUAAUGAAAGUUUAAUGAUGUGUACCAUUGAUAAAAGUCAAAACCUGGGGGAUACCAUUGAUAAUAUCCCUUUUAUUUUUUUGCAAUUUUGCAUGCAUGGUUUGGUUUGGUAGCCUAGCACGGUGUCUGUGUGACAUCCUCCUGCAAUCUUGCACCAUCUCUGCAAACCUACAAAUUUACCCCAAUUUCUCAAAUCUCAAAGAAAAAACCUGAAUUCGUACUACACAAUAAACACAAGCUAAAUUUUCAGUAAUACCCCCCAAUUUUACUCUGCUUCUUACCCAUUUUCACUCUCAGAACUGCAAUUUUGCUCUUACAGGACUCAAUUACUGCAACUUCUGCUUCUUUUUCCUUCCACUUUCUUCAAUGGCCCUCCAUAAGAUGAAGAUAUUCAAUUCUGUUGCCAGCAAGAUUGUGUGCACCGUGAAAUCUUCUCAACACUUCAGCAAACGUGGAUUCUGUAGCUUCUACGGUGAGUCAACAGAGGCCAAGAACGUGAAUGUCUUCAUGAAACAGGGCCCACAGAAAUCCAUGGAGUCGUGGGAAGAAGAUGGAUCGCUUCGAUUUUGGUUUGAUGUUCCAGGAGUCCCAAAAGAGAAAGUGAAGCUGGAGGUUGUAGGGAAUACAUUGUCUUUUGAAGCUGAAGCAGUGGAGAUUCCAUGCGAUGAGGGAAUUCGGGCUUACUACUCUUCCAUUGAGCUGAACCCAAUAUUUUACAAUCUAGCCAAAGUCCAGGUAGAACUACUACAUGGAGUUCUCUACAUCAACAUUCCUAUCCAUUCCUCUCCCUAAAUUUUAUCGUGCCCCGAGUUUGUGAAAUGGUAGCCUAUCUUCUAUGCAUUGUAGUACUUGAAAUGUAAAUACACAACAAAUUUUUAUCCGCAAUCAGAGUUAAAACUGAAAAUUCUGUCUCAUAGACCCUGUUAGAACCCCAAAAUUUUAUGCUCCUCUUCUAAAACGUUUCUGUGGCAUGUUCUUUGUAUUACGAAAUAUUAGUUCAGCUCUCCAUUGCUGGACUGUUCUUGUACGUACACUGAUUAAGGGAAAUCUUUCAGUCUGCAGUAACCUGAUUUGGAAGCUGAUGCUGAAAAUGGGAAGAAUUUUUGAAAUCA